CUUACUUUUAACUUCAUCUACAAUAGCGUGUACUUUAUUUUAUUUUAUUUUUUUUCAAAAAGAAAUCAUUCAUUUUGCAUCCCUUUAUAGGUACUUACUGACUUGUAGCAUGAGUGACAAUGGGUGAGAAUGGAAAUCCCAUUCAGAGCCACUGAGGAGAGUAUUUGGUUAGGCUUACUAACUUGCUAAGUCCUUCCUGUCUGCCAGCCUGAUAGUGACCAUUGUUCAUAUCUUCAUCCUAGCAAAAUUGCAGAUUACUGCUUGGAAGAGACCUUCAGGAAAGUACAUUAAAUAUUAAAUCUGGAUUCUGAAGGAUAUUGUGUUGCCAGUUUGCACAGGGAAUGGCUGCCCUCUGCCUCAUAAUGCAGGCACUCUGAGGCUGCAUUGAUGAACUCACUCUUCUCUCUCCUUCACAGAAACAGAAGAGGCAACUAUGAAAAGCAGAAGCUAAGAAGUAACCAAACAGUGUCUUUUUCAAGCUAUGAGACACUGAGUUCGAUGUUUCUGAAGUCUGAAGUCACAUUUUCUUCUUAAAACACCAAUGAUAACCUUCCAGCCUUAUCUUCUGCCCUUCACUCAAGACCUACAGAAGGGGUUCAAGGAAGAUUAGGCAUCUCACAUUUACCUCUGCUGAUGACGAAUGCUCUUAGGAUCAAGUAAUGGCUCCUCUACUUGAGUAAUUCUCGAUUAGGAGAGAGAAAACCCGGAGAGAUUCAGAAAGGAUGUGUUAGAAAAUGGGAGGUCUGCCAAGUCUCAACACAAAAAGUGAUUUUGAUGAGAAGAGUUUAUGAAUAUGUGGGGGCAGAAUCUGGAUUUGAAAGUGACAUGUUUACUGGGAGAUGAGAUGCUCAUGCCUGCUUAAACACUUUGGUGCAGUUAUUAAUAAUCCCCAAACAUAACAAACUCACAAGGCAUAUGUUUCAGUUACAGUGAAACUAAGUCACUGCAUCAUCAGGCAGGAUAACAUGCAAGGCUUAUCCUGAGCCGCCCAGCAUUGUCAGUAAGCAGCCAACUUCAGAUACGGGUGAGCAGUGGUGCUGCUUCAGUUCCCGGCACCAGAACACAGGAACCUGGCACAGAUGGAAGGAAAUAAAUGAGAUCAGAGCCCAGGUGGGAUAGUCA
rnacentral:lncRNA from 1 species